GACGAACCGAGCGAGCGUUGUUCGGAAUCACUGGGCUUAAAGGGUGCGUAGGCGGGCUGCCGCGUCCGGGGUGAAAUCCCACGGCUCAACCGUUGAACGGCCCCGGGUACGGGCGGCCUCGAGGGGGGUAGGGGCGUGCGGAACUGUGGGUGGAGCGGUGAAAUGCGUUGAUAUCCACAGGAACUCCGGUGGCGAAGGCGGCACGCUGGACCCUCUCUGACGCUGAGGCGCGAAAGCCAGGGGAGCGAACGGG
rnacentral:rRNA from 1 species